CCGCAGCCAAUUAAGCCGGCCGUGGCCCCCCCGGCCGUGGGGCCCCGGCGUGCCCUGGCUGCGCACAGCGACCGCCCCCCGGCUGUGUAGGGCGCCCCGCGCGCCCGCCGCGGGGUGCCCCAAGGGGCCGGGGGCACAGGG